rnacentral:rRNA from 1 species
UACGUAGGGUGCGAGCGUUGUCCGGAAUUAUUGGGCGUAAAGAGCUUGUAGGCGGUUUGUCGCGUCUGCUGUGAAAAUCCGGGGCUCAACCCCGGACUUGCAGUGGGUACGGGCAGGCUAGAGUGUGGUAGGGGAGACUGGAAUUCCUGGUGUAGCGGUGAAAUGCGCAGAUAUCAGGAGGAACACCGGUGGCGAAGGCGGGUCUCUGGGCCAAUACUGACGCUGAGGAGCGAAAGCGUGGGGAGCGAACAGG